rnacentral:rRNA from 1 species
GUGUCAGCAGCCGCGGUAAUACGGAGGGUGCGAGCGUUAAUCGGAAUUACUGGGCGUAAAGCGUACGCAGGCGGUUUGAUAAGCGAGAUGUGAAAGCCCCGGGCUCAACCUGGGAACUGCAUUUCGAACUGGCAAACUAGAGUGUGAUAGAGGGUGGUAGAAUUUCAGGUGUAGCGGUGAAAUGCGUAGAGAUCUGAAGGAAUACCGAUGGCGAAGGCAGCCACCUGGGUCAACACUGACGCUCAUGUACGAAAGCGUGGGGAGCAAACAGGAUUAGAUACCCGUGUAGUCC